rnacentral:tRNA from 2 species
AGGACUUUAGCUUAAUUAAAAGUUUUUGAGUUGCAUUCAUAAGAUGUAGAGUAGUCAUCUGCAAGUCCUA